GUGAAGAACGUAGCGAAAUGCGAUAAGUAAUGUGAAUUGCAGAAUUCAGUGAAUCAUCGAAUCUUUGAACGCACAUUGCGCCCGCCAGUAUUCUGGCGGGCAUGCCUGUUCGAGCGUCAUUUCAACCAUCAAGCCCCCCGGCUUGUGUUGGGGACCUGCGGCUGCCGCAGGCCCUGAAAAGCAGUGGCGGGCUCGCUGUCACACCGAGCGUAGUAGCAUACAUCUCGCUCUGGGCGUGCUGCGGGUUCCGGCCGUUAAACCACCUUCAUAACCCAAGGUUGACCUCGGAUCAGGUAGGAAGACCCGCUGAACUUAAGCAUAUCAAUAAGCGAGGA
rnacentral:misc_RNA from 1 species